rnacentral:tRNA from 1 species
AGCAGCGUGGCCUUGUGGAAAGAGGAUGGCCUUGGGAGUCAGAGGAUCUGGGUUCUAAUCCCAGCUCUGCCA